UAAGAAUUGAUGUAAAAAAUUCAUGAAAAACAAGUAAAAUAAUUACACACACACACACACUGAAAAUUACUUUCUGUUUAUUUUUCUCUGCCCUGAGCCUGCUUUGAGCCAUCUAUACAGACUUCAAUCAUGCCAUUGUGCUCAGUAUUAUGCUGCCAUCAUAUUAUUUUGGAAGCUGCCACGAGUGAGAGGUGGUAAAUCACACUGAAUAGAAAUAUCAGCGCGCUGUGAAUCCCAACGACCUGCGUGCUGCGUUUUGUGGCAUGCCACGCAGCAAGUGAUACGAAGAAUAGAUGCAGGGGUUGCAAGAGUGAGAAUCGGGGCGUGUUUUGUUGCUGAUUUAUCGACGUCGCUGCUGUUGCUGCUGCUGCUGCUGUUGCUGCUGCUGCUGCUGUUGUUGCCAUUGUCUGGGUUUUUGGCACUGUUAACCCGAUUUUCCACUUUUCGUGCGGCAACGUGAAUGGUGCGCGCGGCAUGCAUGAUGAUCAUGUUUACAUUGUGCACCAUACCCCUGCCCCCUGCCCCACGCUACCCUAAAAAGAAACCACGGUAGAUGUCACUAAUGGGGCGCACGUUCAAGUCGAGUCACGUCACCUUUGGCUGCGGCUGCGAUUGCGACGAAGAACAGACCGAAACCAGGCCACGACCAUGCCAACCAAGACAUUGGCAACGGGCGCAAGUCAAACUUUUGCAGUUGACAGCGCAGGACUAGCAAAUACUAUGUACUACAACAAGUUGAGCUGCAAUGCUAUUUAUAUGCAACAAAGGGGCAACUCACUCAGCUUGUGCUAUAAGCUAACUCUUGCCUUUUACAAAUAUAGUUUUAAAUCGAA